GACGAACGCUGGCGGCGUGCUUAACACAUGCAAGUCGAACGGUGAAGCGCUUGCCUUUUUGGUGGGUGUGGAUGAGUGGCGAACGGGUGAGUAACACGUGAGUAACCUGCCCUCUUCUUCUGGAUAACCUCAUGAAAGUGGGGCUAAUACGGGGUAUUCCGGGUCUGUCGCAUGGCGGGUUUGGGAAAGAUUGCGCCUUUGGGUGUUUUCGGUGGGGGAUGGGCUCGCGGCCUAUCAGCUUGUUGGUGGGGUGAUGGCCUACCAAGGCGGUGACGGGUAGCCGGCCUGAGAGGGUGGACGGCCACACUGGGACUGAGACACGGCCCAGACUCCUGCGGGAGGCAGCAGUGGGGAAUAUUGCACAAUGGGCGCGAGCCUGAUGCAGCGACGCCGCGUGAGGGAUGGAGGCCUUCGGGUUGUGAACCUCUUUCGCCAGUGAAGCAGGCCUGCCUCGUUUGUGGGUGGGUUGACGGUAGCUGGAUAAGAAGCGCCGGCUAACUACGUG
rnacentral:rRNA from 1 species